AUAAGUCUUGGUCUUGUGUUCGAGUCAUAGCAAGGAAGAACUUGUGGAAUAUGAAGAACGUUUGCAUGGUUGGAAUACUUCAAGAAGUCUUGCAAGCUACGGGUUCUAUAAAGUAAUGACUACACACUAGUAGAGUAGAUAUGAAGCUGAUGCCAUAGAGAGACAACCUAAGGUCGAUAUUCUCCAAUGGCUUUGUAUCUUUUUAGUGUCAAUUACGGUAGAAAAACAGAGAGCAAUGAGAAAAUUAAUGAUAACGAGGAAGGUUGGGCCAGGAGAGUUCAAAUAGAUAAGUUGUUGAAAUUUACGGUGGAUUUUAUCUCCUUUUGAUAAAUUCUCAAGUGCUCUUUUGAGGGUCAUGCAUGAUGACUACUUUCAUCAUUGUUUUGUAAUUUUUAUUAACAAGAAUUAUUUCAAACCCUUCAAUU